rnacentral:rRNA from 1 species
AGCGAACGCUGGCGGCAGGCCUAACACAUGCAAGUCGAGCGCCCGUAGCAAUACGGGAGCGGCAGACGGGAUAGUAACACGUGGGAACGUACCCUUCAGUUCGGAACAACCCAGGGAAACUUGGGCUAAUACCGAAUACGUCCGUAAGGAGAAAGAUUUAUCGCUGAAGGAUCGGCCCGCGUCUGAUUAGCUAGUUGGUGAGGUAAUGGCUCACCAAGGCGACGAUCAGUAGCNGGUCUGAGAGGAUGAUCAGCAUCACUGGGACUGAGACACGGCCCAGACUCCUACGGGAGGCAGCAGUGGGGAAUAUUGGACAACGGGCGCAAGCCUGAUCCAGCCAUGCCGCGUGGAUGAUGAAGGCCCUAGGGUUGUAAAGUCCUUUCGGCGGGGAAGAUAAUGACGGUACCCGCAGAAGAAGCCCCGGCUAACUUCGUGCCAGCCG